UACGUAGGGUGCGAGCGUUAAUCGGAAUUACUGGGCGUAAAGUGUGCGCAGGCGGCCAUGCAAGUCGAGUGUGAAAGCCCCGGGCUUAACUUGGGAAUUGCGCUCGAAACUACGUGGCUGGAGUGUGGCAGAGGAAGGUGGAAUUCCACGUGUAGCGGUGAAAUGCGUAGAGAUGUGGAGGAACACCAAUGGCGAAGGCAGCCUUCUGGGCCAACACUGACGCUGAGGUGCGAAAGCGUGGGGAGCAAACAGG
rnacentral:rRNA from 1 species